AUGCAAAACAUUCCUGAUCCGAAUUUCCCGCGCUGUUUUACGGAUAUGACGUUAAUUGACGCUUCAAGCGCGUUCUCGACAAGGUUCAAACCCGGAAAAACAUUUGGAAGCUUGCUAGGUGGCGGUAAUGCGUCUUUCACUACUAGCCACGUUAAAACCUCAAACAGAAGAGGAAGAACCCUGGAAAUGGAUUCUACAACUAGCAAACGACCAAGCGCAACUCAAAGCCCACUAAAGAGUGGCACAAAGAAAAAGGUUUUAUCAGCGGCAUCUCGAGAGUCAAAAAGAAAAUAUGAUAAAAGUCGGUCAGGGACCCGAAUAUCUAUUGGUUACGCUCUGGAAAAAUGGAGGCUGCUUCAACUGGAUUUGGUGCCUGAAAAAGGAUGCGGACAUGGCACAUUUUCUAGUGACCAGCUACCGGAAGAAGCAGGCUCCUGAAACUGCAAUUCAGGGAGAACAGCAGCUAAAAUGUCGCAUCGAUUAUCUCCAACUGAACCUGUGUCUGAGGGGUUAGUAUCUUUUCUGUAAAACAAAUAUUCACGUUUUUGUGCUAUGAUAUUUCAUACAUUAAAUUACACCUUGCAUAUCCACACUUGGUUCAGAACUAACAUCACACCACCAAACACUUCUGACAUUAUCUUUACAGGGAAGAUUUUCUAAUGGCUGGUGUUGAGGCCUUAGCUGAUGACCUAGAUUUGGAUCCUUUUGAAGAAAGGUAAAUAUGUUCAUGAGAAGUCUUGCCAUAUAUGCAGGAAAUUACUGCUGUAAUAUGUGUAAAAAAGAUAAAAACACAAUAGUUCAGCAAAUAUAUGUCAUUAUAUAUAUUUAUGUUGUGAAGUGUCAAUUCACAGCAGAUUGUUGUUAUUUGCAGAAAUAAUUAAUGACAGAUGUAUUAGGCUCCACAUUUAUCUCUUUAGAAUCAGUACCAUUUCAGGUAAGUUCCAGUAUUUAUCUUUACGUACAACAAAUAUUAUUGUGUUGUCUGUAGUUUCAAAUCCAUGGAUCUAGCUACGGAUGCAGUCCAAAUUGAUGAGGACCAAGCAAACAACUUACUCAACAGUGUGUGAGUUGCAAUGUCUUCUUAUCUAGGGGUGGGCAAUAUAAACGAUAUAAGGUAGAAAUGAUAUAAAAUUAGGUAAUGAUAGUUUUUGGCUAUAUCGCAAUACGGCGAUAUUGUGAUAACACAUGACGUCACUAAGAUGUGCACCCUGCUGACAAUGGGACAACAGAAUGGCGGUGACUGCAAGCAUGGAGUGGGCGGAGGAGGAGGCCUAUAUGCCUCAAGUGGCAUAUAUUUGCCACAUGAGGAUAUCUAAAAGCAUGUCAAUUUGACAUCUAUAAACAGAUGAAAAAAUAUAUCGCAAUAUAUAUCGUUACUGCACAUGCUUCAGAUUAUAUCGCAAUAUAGAUUUGAGGCCAUAUUGCCCAGCCCUAUUCUUAUCUACACUCUUUUUUUAAACUCCAAAGUCUUAAAACAAUAUAUUAAUUCUACUUUUAUUUAUUGUUUUCAUAACAGAAUAGAACUGUUAUGAAAACUUUGUCAGGCUGACGAAGUUUGCAGCCGCAAACAAAACGUUGCAGGUAAAUAAAACCCUUCUAUGUUUUAAAAAGAACUAAAAGAUGGAAUUGUUGUUUUAUCCUUGUUCACAGGCUGGGAUCCUAAAGGGAAAUUCCAUCCUACUUGUGUGGCUGAAGGACAUCUUCAACCAAUUUUGGUACAUUUGCCAGAAAGCACAACAUCGUGAUAUGUUUAAU
ensembl:lncRNA